rnacentral:lncRNA from 1 species
AAUCCUAGGUCAGAAUCUGAACAAGAAUGUAAGAUUUAUUCAUUUUCCAACCACGCUUCAGCCAGUCUUUAAAAGCAGGCAACAAAUACAAUUUUUCUUGACCUCCAUUAAGCCCUUUAUGUUUUUUUUUUUUUUUAGAGAAGGGGUCUUGCUAUGUUGCCCAGGAUGGUCUGAAACUCCGGGCCUCAAGCAAUCUUCCUGCCUUAGCCUCCCAAAGUGUUAGGAUUACAGGCAUGAGCCACCAAGCCCGGCCUGCUCAUAAUUGAUUUAUUUUAUCCUUAUUGUGUUUACUCUAACAUCCUUGGUUGCUGACUUCACCAUGUCUUUCAGCUCACUGGUUAUACAACUCCACAUCUUCUUUCUGGCUUCCUUCUUCCCAUAGUUUCUUCCUUAGCUUUGGUAUUUCCCAUUGUCUUUAGUGAGAAAAUUCUCUCUGUGGUCUCUGAUACUAGUAAAAUCUAUCUUGGCUGUCCAUAAACGGAAGAACAUUCCGUGCUCAUGGGUAGGAAGAAUCAAUAUCGUGAAAAUGGCCAUACUGCACAAGGUAAUUUACAGAUUCAAUGCCAUCCCCAUCAAGCUACCAAUGCCUUUCUUCACAGAAUUGGAAAAAACUACUUUAAAGUUCAUAUGGAACCAAAAAAGAUAGGAAUAAGCAGUACUAAGAAGAGAAGUACAUUUUUCCAAAAGAGUGCAUAAAAUACUUAAAUCACAGAGAUCAGUGAAAGGAAGAUGUGAUUGAGUCAAUAGUUGAAGAGUAAACAGAGUCAUUUAGGAAGAAAUGAUAGGAAGGAUAUGCCAGACAGGGGAGUGGCCUUUGGGACAGUGUGGUACUUCAAAAAUGUUGAGAAUUUUUGAAC